UCCAUGGUUUGAAGUUUCUCCUCCAACUGUCUGGCUUGGCUCUCGGCCACCUUAGCUCAAAAUUUUGUUAAAAUUUUUUUCUUAAAUAUUUUUAAAUUGAUUUUUAAUGUGAUACAAGAUGAUUGCACAAAGUUAGAAAUACAAAGUAAAAAGAGGAAAACAAGGAAAAUUGAUAAUUCCUCCAUUCAGAUUCAUCAUGGUGUUAAAUUGUUUUAUUUCAUUCAUUCCAGUCUUUUUUUUUCCUUCAGUAUGGGUACAUGUUUAUAUAUAUUUUUGCUAGUAUAAUAGAAUAAUGUGAUAAACCUUUGUGUAUACACAUUUUGUGUACAGUUCUGACUAUUUCUUUAGGAUCAACUUAAACCCUAAGUUUUAAUACUCUGAAGGCUUAGAGUUACCUUGGGGCUUUGGGCUGGAGAGAGGGAUUGGUGGUACUGAAGCUGUUGAUUACAGGAGAAAAAGAACCGUGCUCUUGAAGUAUUCCCUUCACCCCCACUUAUAGUAAUCCCUCCUGGCGUUGCAGAGAUAGCAUGGAAUUGUUUCUGGCUAGAUUAUGAUUCUGAGGACUCCGGGUUGAUUUUUACAGUAUGUAAGAAGAAAAAGUUAGAAAAGGUUUUUAUGCAUCAGCUGCUCUUUGCUGGGUGUCAUUCCUGUCACUGUGAGGACACUGGCAAACCAAAGAGAUUGGUCCUUGUCUUUGGGACUCCUAGAGUUGAGGACAGAUAAUGCAUAGGAAGAAUCAGAGACUGUAACGGAUGCGAUCAACUUGAACAGAUGGGAGAUAUUAAGCACCAAGAGGGUGAAUGAGGAGGUUUCUUACUUCCUGGUCACAAAAUGGCUGCCGAAGUCCAUAAGCUAAAUCCUAAUGUGAGUGAACAUGAUCAAGAAGUUCACAAUUUUAAGGAUUCAUGACUACAACCCCAAAAUACGGCACUUCUGCCUGUGUGGAAACAACAGAAGCAGGAAGAUUACUCUCAUUUUUCUCUGGCCUUUUUCCCUUGAAGCAGACUAUAAAGAAGAAUCUGACCUUCCUCUGAAGGAAACCUUCAUUCCAGACAUACCCUCCCUAUAUCCAAAGAACAUCUUUAUCUUUAAAGACACAGAGAUGUCAAGAAGAAUCUGAACAAACAGGCUUUGCCAGAUCCCCCAGUUUACUAAUAUUGAACCAUACUCUUUUGUUCUUCAAUCAUACUUCUGCAUGAUGUCCAUAAAAAUACACAGUUUUCCCCAUUCCUUUUGGGUAUUUAUUCCCGAAAGCUUCUGUGUCAUGUAAAACUUACAUUAAAUAAAUUUGUAUGCUUUUCCUUG
rnacentral:lncRNA from 1 species